rnacentral:sRNA from 1 species
GCUAGGUGCAGUGGCACAUGCCUGUAAUCCCAGCAACUUGGGAGGCUGAAGCAGGAGGAUCACAAGUUCAAGGCCAGCCUCAGCAAUCUAUCGAGGCCUUAAGCAAUUUAGUGAGACCUGUCUCAA